rnacentral:rRNA from 1 species
UCGUAACAAGGUCUCCGUUGGUGAACCAGCGGAGGGAUCAUUACGAAAAGGAGUUCUCGGACUCUCAAACCCUUUGUGAACCUUACCUAUCGUCAGUUGCUUCGGCGGGAGGCCCCUGGGAGGGGCCCCGGGGCCCGGCCUGAGCCGGGCUCCCGCCGGAGGAGCGCAAACCAAACUCUUGCUGUACCUCAGUGGAACAUCCGAGUUAAAAAUAAAAAAUAAGUUAAAACUUUCAACAACGGAUCUCUUGGUUCUGGCAUCGAUGAAGAACGCAGCGAAAUGCGAUAAGUAAUGUGAAUUGCAGAAUUCAGUGAAUCAUCGAAUCUUUGAACGCACAUUGCGCCCGCCAGUAUUCUGGCGGGCAUGCCUGUUCGAGCGUCAUUUCAACCACUCGGGCCCUGGUGCCUGGCGUCGGGGUUUCUUAUAGAUCCCCUAGAAUCAGUGGCGGACCCGCCGCGGCUCCGAGCGUAGUAGUAAAAUAUCUCGCUAUGGAGGUCCGUGGGGGGCUUACCGGCCGUAAAAGCUUUCUCUCACGAGAAAAUUCUCAAGGUGACCUCGGAUCAGG